rnacentral:rRNA from 1 species
GGCUCAGAACGAACGCUGGCGGCGUGCCUAACACAUGCAAGUCGAGCGCGAAAGUCCCUUUCGGGGGGCAAGUAGAGCGGCGGACGGGUGAGUAAUACAUGGAUAAUCUUCCUUCGAGCCCGGGAUAACACUGCGAAAGUGGUGCUAAUACCGGAUAAGACCACGUCACUCAGGUGAUGCGGGAAAAGGUGGCUUUGUUUUCGGAUGAGGCUAUCACUUGUUGAUGAGUCCAUGGCCUAUCAGCUUGUUGGUGAGGUAAAGGCUCACCAAGGCUAUGACGGGUAGCUGGUCUGAGAGGACGACCAGCCACACUGGGACUGAGACACGGCCCAGACUCCUACGGGAGGCAGCAGUGGGGAAUAUUGGGCAAUGGGCGAAAGCCUGACCCAGCGACGCCGUGUGGGCGAUGAAGGCCUUCGGGUUGUAAAGCCCUGUUGGGUGGAAAGAAGGACCUGUUGACGAAUAAUCUUCAGGUCUUGACGGUACCACCAGAGGAAGCACCGGCUAACUCCGUGCCAGCAGCCGCGGUAAUACGGAGGGUGCAAGCGUUGUUCGGAAUUACUGGGCGUAAAGGGCGCGUAGGUGGUUGUGUAAGUCGGAUGUGAAAUCCCCAGGCUCAACUUGGGAACUGCAUCUGAUACUGCAUGACUAGAGUACUGCAGAGGGAAACGGAAUUCCUGGUGUAGAGGUGAAAUUCGUAGAUAUCAGGAGGAACACCGGUGGCGAAGGCGGUUUCCUGGGCAGAUACUGACACUGAGGCGCGAAAGCGUGGGUAGCAAACAGGAUUAGAUACCCUGGUAGUCCACGCUGUAAACGGUGAGUGCUGGGUGUGGGAGGUGUAAUGCCUUCUGUGCCGAAGCUAACGCGUUAAGCACUCCGCCGGGGGAGUACGG